GCCUGAUGCAGCGACGCCGCGUGAGGGAUGACGGCCUUCGGGUUGUAAACCUCUUUCAGCAGGGACGAAGCGAAAGUGACGGUACCUGCAGAAGAAGCACCGGCCAACUACGUGCCAGCAGCCGCGGUAAUACGUAGGGUGCGAGCGUUGUCCGGAAUUACUGGGCGUAAAGAGCUCGUAGGCGGUUUGUCGCGUCGUCUGUGAAAACCAGCAGCUCAACUGCUGGCUUGCAGGCGAUACGGGCAGACUUGAGUACUGCAGGGGAGACUGGAAUUCCUGGUGUAGCGGUGAAAUGCGCAGAUAUCAGGAGGAACACCGGUGGCGAAGGCGGGUCUCUGGGCAGUAACUGACGCUGAGGAGCGAAAGCGUGGGUAGCGAACAGGAUUAGAUACCCUGGUAGUCCACGCCGUAAACGGUGGGCGCUAGGUGUGGGUUUCCUUCCACGGGAUCCGUGCCGUAGCUAACGCAUUAAGCGCCCCGCCGGGGGAGUACGGCCGCAAGGCUAAAACUCAAAGGAAUUGACGGGGGCCCGCACAAGCGGCGGAGCAUGUGGAUUAAUUCGAUGCAACGCGAAAAACCUUACCUGGGUUUGACAUAUACCGGAAAGCCGUAAAGAUACGGCCCCCCUUGUGGUCG
rnacentral:rRNA from 1 species